UACGUAGGGGGCAAGCGUUGUCCGGAAUCAUUGGGCGUAAAGAGCGUGUAGGCGGCCCGGUAAGUCCGCUGUGAAAGUCCAGGGCUCAACCCUGGGAUGCCGGUGGAUACUGUCGGGCUCGAGUCCGGAAGAGGAGUGUGGAAUUCCUGGUGUAGCGGUGAAAUGCGCAGAUAUCGAGAGGAACAUCGGUGGCGAAGGCGGCCUUCUGGACAGCGACUGACGCUGAGACGCGAAAGCGUGGGGAGCAAACAGG
rnacentral:rRNA from 1 species